GGCCUGCUGUGAUGACAUUCCAAUUAAAGCACGUGUUAGACUGCUGACGCGGGUGAUGCGAACUGGAGUCUGAGCCUGCC
rnacentral:snoRNA from 1 species